AGCUUUGCACAGUGGCAGUAUCAUAGCCAAGGAGAUGUAUCCAAGGCACGAUUAUUGCUAAUUGAAAAUAUAUACAAAAGAUAGAUAUGCUCCUUUUUUAAAUAUAUGAAUUAAUGGCAAUCAAAAUUACAUAUGAU